rnacentral:snRNA from 1 species
GGUUAUGAGGAAGAUUUGGAUGGUAUACCUUCCAGCCCACUGGUCACCAGGGCUGAGUUCCCUUCCUCCCUCACCACUCCACAUGCCUCCCUCUUGAAGGUAUAAGCUCAGUCUAAGAAGACAACCUUUCCUGAUAGAAAAGGAUCGCUCUUCAGUCAAUGGUACCUGUGCUGUCCUGCCAACACAUCGAAACAAGCUCUCGGAUUUCUAGAUUAGGGAUGUUCUAUUGCUAGAGUCUGCAGAUAGUCCAAAGUCUGAAAGAUCCUGAAAUCUAAAACACUUCUGGCCUCAAGCAUUU